UAAUUAAGUAAGGAAAUUGCUUA
rnacentral:siRNA from 1 species